AUCUCCAGUCUGAAGGUCAGUUCCUCUCCUGGGAUCCUCCUAACCCAAGAUGGACCGCACUGUGAUCUUCCUUUGGGUGCUACUUUUUGCUACAGCUUAUACAACAAGAGGACAAAGUGAUGUUCCUUCUGCGUCUGGUAAGUACCAUC